GUGGGGAAUAUUGGGCAAUGGGCGCAAGCCUGACCCAGCAACGCCGCGUGAAGGAAGAAGGCUUUCGGGUUGUAAACUUCUUUUACCAGGGACGAAACAAAUGACGGUACCUGGUGAAUAAGCCACGGCUAACUACGUGCCAGCAGCCGCGGUAAUACGUAGGUGGCGAGCGUUAUCCGGAUUUAUUGGGUGUAAAGGGCGUGUAGGCGGGACAGCAAGUCAGAUGUGAAAACCAGAGGCUCAACCUCUGGCCUGCAUUGGAAACUGUUGUUCUUGAGUGUCGGAGAGGUAAGCGGAAUUCCGUGUGUAGCGGUGAAAUGCGUAGAUAUACGGAGGAACACCAGUGGCGAAGGCGGAUUACUGGACGAUAACUGACGCUGAGGCGCGAAAGCGUGGGGAGCAAACAGGAUUAGAAACCCUGGUAGUCC
rnacentral:rRNA from 1 species